AAUCACCUGUAAACUCCUCCUCGUGCAGGUUAAGGCGGCGGCUUCCCAAUUAGACUAGGGCACGCCGCGUCGAUCGAUAAUAAUCGUGUGUGUUUGAGUGUAUUCAUAAUUCAGUGCUGAAUCGCUGGAUCGAUGUUUCAAAUUCGUUAUGUUAUCCGUUUCGAAGCCCAAAAACAGUAAACAAUGAAGAAGAUGCUCCAGAAAAACAAAACUUUGUUCUAUUGCUGCCUCUAGUGGGUAAAAUUCUGACAAUACAGGUAUGGAAGCGUCCCGUGGACGUGAUGUUAAUCUUAUGGCCCCUGUUAUCAGCUCAGAUGUCAACCUCGGUAAUACUAACACCGAGCUUUCCCUGGCCAUCCUCCCUCCACAAGCACCAGGCGGAACUAUUCCAAGGAAACGACGCAGGCCUUGUUACGGGUGGAUUGAUGAUGAGGACGACAUUGAUGACAUUGUGCACUUAAGAACUUCUCCUGGUCGGCAAGGAAUAAAAUUAAUUUUACCAGAAUUGGCACCAAGUGGACAAAGAGAAAUGCCAACAUUUCUCGAGAUGUGUUUGUGUUUAUGCAGCUGACGAGGUAAAAGAACCUAGAGGCUGGCACCACCUCUAGGAAUUUCCGACCUUGUUCCAAAGCACAAGGAUGAGUUCCAUCUUCCCUCAGCGAGCUCUAUGUAGGUGUCUAGAAUUUUGUGCUGAGCUCCUAGCCGACCCUGCCAUAAAACAAACCCAAUACAGUCUUAUUCACGUAAAGAUUGUUUUGUUUAAUAAUAUCCGGGAGACGGAUGGCUCAUAAAUGGUGAAGUAAACAAGGAAGAUGAUUUGCAGUAAACAAUGAAGAUGAUGCUCCAAAAUGAUGAAAAACAAUUAUCUAAGGCCCGCUAAUUUGCUAGUAACCAUAUUGUCUUAUUCUUAUUCCUAUGUAAGAUCAGGGCUCAAAAGACUUAAAAUAGAUGAUGUUCAAGUAACCAUUAAGUUACUUGAAGUAUUUCUAGUAUUUGUCUGUUUAUUUAUUGACCUGUAUAAUGUAUAUAAUAAGCUUGUGUGUGUGUUAAAACAGGAUUCUGCAUUUUGGAACAGUGGUUCAUAAUUGACCAAUUUUCUUC